rnacentral:rRNA from 1 species
UAUUGGACAAUGGGCGCAAGCCUGAUCCAGCAAUGCCGCGUGCGUGAUGAAGGCCUUCGGGUUGUAAAGCGCUUUCGCCCACGACGAUGAUGACGGUAGUGGGAGAAGAAGCCCCGGCUAACUCCGUGCCAGCAGCCGCGGUAAUACGUAGGUGGCGAGCGUUGUCCGGAUUUAUUGGGUUUAAAGGGUGCGUAGGCGUCCUGACAAGUUUUAGGUGAAAUGCCCAGGCUUAACCUGGGAGCUGCCUGAAAAACUGUUGGGAUUGAGUACAGACGAGGUAGGCGGAAUUGACGGUGUAGCGGUGAAAUGCAUAGAUAUCGUCAGGAACACCGAUAGCGAAGGCAGCUUACUAGACUGUAACUGACGCUGAGGCACGAAAGUGUGGGGAUCAAACA